CCAGUUUGGGAGGUGGCGGCAGAGUAAGGGCUGAGGCCCCAGAUCUGCCUGGGGUCAGGCUGCUUCUACAAGUGCUGUGCCAGCCUCAGUAGUGUGGCUGCUAGGACAGCACCAUUUCAGUUUCAUCGAUGUCUCAGGCAGGAGUGGAGAGGAGUGUGGGUGUCCCAUGGGGUGUGUACUGACCUGUUGUAUCGACUCCACCUGUAGCUGGUGCAGGGGGAAGGUGGCGCCCUGUUGUGAAUCUGUUAUUUAUGAGGCUGUGGCUGCUGCAACAUCAGAAUCCACUAGUGUAGAGCCCGGCAAGCUGGAUGUGGGAGCCACGGAGGGCCACGAACUGCAGCACAUCGGCAACCAAAAGAUGCCCACAGGCCCCCCUGAGGACAGCCUGAGUUUAAAAUCUCUACCACCAAGUGAGGAAGAUAAUGAUGAUGCCCAGGUAAGACUCCCUUUCUUUGCAUUCUAAGGAAAUGGUGCUUUCCUGAUGUGAGAAACAAACUCACCCAUUGAAACCCAAAGAAUGGACUCAGAGGCCUGCAGAACAGAGAAAGUGAGAAUUUUAAUGAUGGUCUUGCAAGAUAUAUAUAUAUAUAUAUAUAUAUAUAUAUAUAUAUAUAUAUAUAUUUAUUUAUGGUUGUCUUACUGCAUUUUGUGGAAGCCCACAAUGCAUUGCCAUCCUAGUCAGCUUAGGAGCUUUUCAAGUAUUUGACUUAUGACCUAAGUAGCUGGGCAGGCUGAGAAGAACAGACCAAGCAAGCUAUUUUGCAGGCUAGUAAACUUUUAACUUAGACUGUACUUCUUUGUUAAAGUGAGGACAACUAAGCGAGGUGGAAGGGGGACCCAACAAGCCGGCAUUGCCCAUCCAACCAUGAGCCUAGUAUUUCUUCUGUGCUUUGCUGAGCUAAACAACUUCAAGGCACUUUGUCUUAAAAAUGGACCACUGUAUACACUAUUUCCUUCACCUGAUUUCUUUCCCUCUCAAUUAAUUUUGGUAUAAGGAUAUGAUGGGACACAUUAUGUACAACAUACACAAUAGUCCUUCUUGGGGUGGAGUUCACUGGGAAUGUCUUCCCAUCUAAUACAUGACAUGGUAGGAUGUUUUUGAAUGACAGCAGCAAUCAUCAACUGUAAUGCAGAGGCAUUUUUGUCGACACCAGUUUUCCUCUUCGAAUUAGGCAUUGUGAGUUUACCAAUCUAAAUCAACUUCAAAGAAAUUCUGUGAGAAAAGCUCUUGUCUUUUCCAUGCAUGUCCUCUAUGCUAGAGUGUUUUGUCUUUGACAUGGACUCAACCACUGUUUCAAAAGUAGUUUUCUGAAGUCAUCAACAGAUGAACGGAUCUGUGUAAGAGGGCAGCAGAAUUGAUCUGAUCCUCAUAGCAUCUUCUUUUGUCUCAUUGCAGAUUUUACCAUCACCUGUCCUGGGUACGUACCUUGAACUAACUCAUUUUCUGAGAAACAAAUUUGCUGGCUUGAAUAUAUAGAAACCUUAAUUUGGAUUCCUGUUAAAAAAUGUUGGGGGUCUGUUGAGAGUAAAUGAUUUUGCAAGUGUAUAGCUAUGACCAGAGGGGCUGUAGAAAUGUGUGUGAACCCAGAGGACCAACCAGGAGAUUUUGUGUGAGCCAGUGAGUCUUCACCGGGAGGAGGAGAAGUGAGUGCACCUCUCACUGACUUAUCCUGAUGUUGGUGGUUUUAAAGAGUGGAUUUUGGAAAAUCUCAGCAGGGAAGAGGAUGCCUUUCCAGGUAGGCAACAAGACUUCAGAUGGGGUCUAAUAAAACAGCAUUUCCAAGAACCUUCAUGUUAUACCUUCUGCUUGGGAGGCUUAGGGAGGGUGUAGAAAGAGAAAAAGGAAAAGUUAAUAUAAGCCACGUUUGUUAUCUUCAGAGUUUAAUGUCAUCAUCAUGAGGAGUACUAUGUUCAUGGGCUUUUGAGUAUCCUGUGUUUUCAAUCACCUGUUCUUGGUUUAUUAUUUAAAGAUGAUUUUUCAGAGAAUACCUGCUCUUUUCUGCCUGUGCCACUGCAAAAUGUCACAGCCUUUGGUUUGGGACAUAGUUCUGUCACAGGCAGUUACUUAAUCCUGAAUAUAAAACUCUUCUGCAGUGUGCCCAGAUGCAUAGGAGAGAUUGAUCCACACCUUAUGAACUUAGGUUUCAUGGCAGGACAUUCAUUUGUCUGUCCUUG
rnacentral:lncRNA from 10 species